rnacentral:tRNA from 1 species
UGGCUCAGAGGGUAAAGUGUCUGCCUGCAAUGCAGGAGACCUGGGCUCAAUCCCCAG